rnacentral:tRNA from 1 species
GCGCCUGUGAUGGAAUUGGUAGACAUGCGAGAUUUAGGUUCUCGUGUCGCAAGACGUGUGGGUUCGAGUCCCUUCAGGCGCACCA